rnacentral:rRNA from 1 species
CGCUGGCGGCGUGCCUAAUACAUGCAAGUCGAGCGCAGGAAAUAAACAGAACCCUUCGGGGUGAUGUUUAUGGAAUGAGCGGCGGACGGGUGAGUAACACGUGGGCAACCUGCCUGUAAGAUCGGGAUAACUCGCGGAAACGUGAGCUAAUACCGGAUAACACUUUUCAUCUCAUGGUGAGAAGAUAAAAGACGGUUUCGGCUGUCACUUACAGAUGGGCCCGCGGCGCAUUAGCUAGUUGGUGAGGUAACGGCUCACCAAGGCGACGAUGCGUAGCCGACCUGAGAGGGUGAUCGGCCACACUGGGACUGAGACACGGCCCAGACUCCUACGGGAGGCAGCAGUAGGGAAUCUUCCGCAAUGGACGAAAGUCUGACGGAGCAACGCCGCGUGAGUGAUGAAGGUUUUCGGAUCGUAAAACUCUGUUGUUAGGGAAGAACAAGUUGGGUAGUAACUGACCCAACCUUGACGGUACCUAACCAGAAAGCCACGGCUAACUACGUGCCAGCAGCCGCGGUAAUACGUAGGUGGCAAGCGUUGUCCGGAAUUAUUGGGCGUAAAGCGCUCGCAGGCGGUCUUUUAAGUCUGAUGUGAAAGCCCACGGCUUAACCGUGGAGGGUCAUUGGAAACUGGAGGACUUGAGUACAGAAGAGGAGAGUGGAAUUCCACGUGUAGCGGUGAAAUGCGUAGAGAUGUGGAGGAACACCAGUGGCGAAAGGCGACUCUCUGGUCUGUAACUGACCCUGAGGAACGAAAGCGUGGGGUAGCGAACAGGAUUAGAUACCCUGGUAGUCCACCCCGUAAAC